GUGCUCGCUUCGGCAGCACAUAUACUAAAAUUGGAACGAUACAGAGAAGAUUAAUUAGCAUGGCCCCUGGGCAAGGAUGACACGCAAAUUCGUGAAGCGUUCCAUAAUUUU
rnacentral:snRNA from 1 species